rnacentral:rRNA from 1 species
UUCCACUGUGAACAUACCACUUGUUGCCUCGGCGGAUCAGCCCGCUCCCGGUAAAACGGGACGGCCCGCCAGAGGACCCCUAAACUCUGUUUCUAUAUGUAACUUCUGAGUAAAACCAUAAAUAAAUCAAAACUUUCAACAACGGAUCUCUUGGUUCUGGCAUCGAUGAAGAACGCAGCAAAAUGCGAUAAGUAAUGUGAAUUGCAGAAUUCAGUGAAUCAUCGAAUCUUUGAACGCACAUUGCGCCCGCCAGUAUUCUGGCGGGCAUGCCUGUUCGAGCGUCAUUUCAACCCUCAAGCACAGCUUGAUGUAGGGACUCGCGUUAAUUCGCGUUCCUCAAAUUGAUUGGCGGUCACGUCGAGCUUCCAUAGCGUAGUAGUAAAACCCUCGUUACUGGUAAUCGUCGCGGCCACGCCGUUAAACCCCAACUUCUGAAUGUUGACCUCGGAUCAGGUAGGAAUACCCGCUGAACUUAAGCAUAUCAAUGAAGGGGAGGAA